rnacentral:lncRNA from 1 species
AAGAUGUCAUCCAGACGUGGCAGGGGGUAUUAGUCCACAUGCAACAUUGAAUUCACAGUUAUCUUGAAGUCCCCACACAUUCUAACAGACCUGUCUUUCUUUACAAUAGGAACUAUGGGUGUGGCCCAUUCGCUUCUGUCCACUUUCAUCAGGAUCCCUGUAUCCUGCAAGCGAUCGAUUUCCGCUUCCACCUUUGGUCUCAGGGAGUAUGGAAGAGAUCUGGCUUUGCAGAAUUUUGGGGUUGCGUCAUCUAUUAGUACAAGUUUUGCUGAGGAAGCCUUUUACUGUUCCCAUCUGAUCACUGAAAACUGUGUUGUAUUUCUUCCGCAGUGUUCCAGUGUUUGGUCUGUGCCUUUCUCUUUGGACUGGAACGUGUGGAGCAUUUUCAAGUCACACCAGUUCAGCUUUAUUUUUGAAAGCCAUUCCCUGCCAAAUAAUGGGGGGCCAGUUCCAGGCACCACAUACAGCUCCCAUUACUCACUCUGACCUGCAAUGCCCCCAUUGGGCUCAAUCUCUCUCCUGAGUAGCUCUUCAUCAACACAUUUGUGUUCUUCAGCUUGAUAGCCUUGAAGUGCUCAUUGUAGACGCUAGUGGAAAUUAUAGACACUGCAGAUCCUGUGUCCAGCUCCAUUUUAAGGGGUUUGCCUUCGAUUUCUGGUGUCACCCAUAUUAUGCUACUGCUGGGAGAAGUCACUGUGUUUAACUCCAUUGUACCAAUUAAUCGUCAUCUGAAUCACUGCCACUGUUCUCUGCUAGUGCAUUCACAGACCCUUUAAUUUUCUAAAUUUUCCUGUUGUGACUGAAUUUUGCUCUGCAUGCUCUUUGAAUGUGACCCCUUCUACUGCAUUUGUGACAAAUUUGGUCUUUGAAACGGCAGUCCUCUGCUCUGUGACCAUCUCUGUCACACCUGUUGCAUUUUUCGGCCACACGGGGGCGCUGUCGGCUGCGUGUGAACUUGUGCAGGGAAGUUUAUGAUAGGUCAGUAUUUCUUUUACUUUGCAACUCAAAUGCAUCUUUAGUCGCGAUUUCCAUAGCCACAGCAAUUUCAACAGCCUUUGCAAACGUGAGAUCUGAUUCUGUGAGCAAACGUUUUUGAAUGUGUUCAUGUUUCAGUCCACAAACAAAUCUAUCCCUUAAUGUGUCAUUUAGGUUCUCUCCAAAAGUGGCAAUGUUCAGACAGUUUCUUCAACUCUGCUACAUAUGUACUAACACCCUCCCCCUCAUUCUGAUCUCUCUUGUGGAAACGAAAAUGUUCCGCGAUGAGGAGUGGUUUAGGUGAUAGGUGAUUUUGCAAUAUCUCCACAAUCUCACUGAAUGUUUUAUUGGAGUGCUUCAGAGGGGCCGUCAGAUCUCUUAGCAAACUGUACGUUUUUGGGCCAAUUAAACUCAACAACGCUGGUACUCUUUUGUUAUCAGCAAUGUCGUUUGCAAUGAAGUACUGUUCCAGUCGUUCAAUGUAAGUUGCCCAGUUUUCUUGCGUGUCAUCAAACACAUCUAUUUUCCCGAUGCUAGCCAUUCUCUUUACCUCCGGCUCCACGGGUCUUUGAUCUGCCGCCUCGUUCUCAUCAGCUCUCCCCUCGUCGUCACUGCUUGCUAUCUGUUGUGCUACAGAGUCUAAAUCUUCCUCUCUUCCUACGAGCUCCAUCUGCAUUCAUGAUACACACUGCAGGUACAUCAAGGCUCUGAGAGCUCAGAUGGAGAGGAUAGCUCUGGAGAAGACAGAGCUCCCCCCUCUCUGUUGCUGCGGAGACAGUUUUUGGGACUCCCAUCCUGACACCUGCGCAAACUGAGUCUUCU